rnacentral:SRP_RNA from 1 species
GCUGGACAUGGUGGCGCGUGCCUGUAGUCCCAGCUACUUGGGAGGCUGAGGUGGGAGGAUCGCUUGAGCCCAGGAAUUCUGGGCUGUAGUGCACUAUGCCGAUUGGGUGUCUGUACUAAGUUUGGCAUCAAUGUGAUGACCUCCCGGGAGUGGGGGACCACCAGGUUGCCUAAGGAGGGGUGAACCAGUCCAGGUUGGAAACAGCAGGUCAAAACUCUGGUGCUGAUCAAUAGUGGCAUCAUGCCUGUAAAUAGCCACUGCACUCCAGUAUGGGCAACAUAGCGGGCCUCCUCUUUA